UGCGGAACUAUUAAAGUCGUCGGUCGCAAAAUUUAAUAUUAUCUAUAGUAAUUUGCACGAAUAUAAAUAGUCGUCCGGCGAUUUUAUUUCGCUAUAAUAAACGACAGUGUACGAGCGCCGUACUCGCCAGAUUUGGCACCGUACGACUUUUUUUUUGUUUCCAAAGAUAUAAUCUGCUUUGAAAGGGACCCGAUUUGAGUCGAUGGAAGCGGUAAAGCAAAAAACGGCAAAGCUCCUAAAGGCCCUCACCAAAGAAGAGUUCCAGCACUGCUUUGAUCAAUGAAAAAAACGUAUGGAAAGGUGUGUGGCGAGGGGAGGGGAGUAUAUUGAAGGGGAGCAUUUGAAUGUAGAAUAAUUUUUAUAACAAAACGCUUUUUCGUAACUAGUCUCGUUAUUUAAUAGCCACACCUCGUGUAUACCACAGUGACUUUCGGAAUCAUACGUGCCGGACCUCUUUUAAAUACUUUCCGGAUUGUUACGGCCUGCAGUGGCGUUCAUUUGACUUUUGUUGACGGGGGAAUUUAAAUUGUUUUAACAACAGAACGCGAAAAUCGUCCGAAUAAGACCGACUUUAUCGUGAUAUAGGUUUUAAUUAUUUUUUUAUUAUUAAAAUAGGUGUCAUUAAUCAAAUAAAUACCUACAGUUUUACUAUACUUAAUAAAUACGAUGAUGGAACUGUGAUCGCGAGG